AAACGCACCCUAGACUUCUUGACAGAACCAACAACAGCAUCGUGUGGAGGACUCCCUGCGCCUCGCGGCAUCCUGCUCGGCCAUGCCCGCCACGCCGUGCCCCUUGCCCUGCGCCUUGGCUCCCUGCUCGACCAACACUGUUGCGCCCUGCUCAUCUAGCCCCGUUGCACUGCAGCGAAUGGGCCAGCCCAGAGAUCAGCCAAAAGCCCAGGACGCCUAGGGCACGUGAGAGAUGGAUCCCGUCGACGGGCCUUGGCCAGAGCGGCCUUCUACAUACAUGGCCGGCGCGGCGCGGCGGCGGCUAGGGUUCCCACCCAACGCCGCUCUUUUUUUGAUUCGAACGAUGUUGCACCCUCCUCUGUUUCACCGGUGCGACUCGAAGGGGUAAGGCACCGAUAGGGAAAGAGUAUGUCGGUCUUUCUAGGGGCACUAGUACUGCGUCUUCACAAAACAAAUUGAUGAAUUGGUAGAAGGGCCCAGAAACUAAGAGCCAGUUUUUUUUAGGACCAAGGAAAUAAUUUGUUGUUUCUUUUUUUUUCUUUCCUGCAAAUGUUGAUGGGGUGAUGUCGGGUGAUAUUUGCAAAUUUGUAGGGAUGUGGAGUUGACUUUUCAGGGGGUUAAGAGCAACUCCAAGAGUCUGACUAAAAUUAGUAGUCAAAUUCUAAUAUUUAGUCAUUUUGUAAAGUAGAAAACUUCUUAAAAAAGAAGAGAUCCACAACAGUCUUACUAUUUUACAAAAUCAUAUAGCUUGUGUCAGUGGUUGGCUAUAUAUGUCCAGCGAAAAUCAAGGAAUAGCCAACUUUCUAUUUUACAAAACUAGAUAACACAUCUGUUGGAGUCUACCUUUUAUUAUGCAAAUUCUAAAAUAGCCUCCACAAUAAGAAUAGCCAAGCUGUUGGAGUUGCUCUAAGGCCUUGUUUAGUUCACCCAAAGAUCUAAAAACUUUUUAAGAUUUCUCAUCACAUUGAAUCUUACGGCACAUACAUGAAGUAUUAACUAUAGAUAAAAAAUAAUUAAUUGCACAUUUUGUCUAUAAUUUGCAAGAUAAAUCCAUUAAGUCUAAGUCUAUGGUUGGACAAUAUUUGUAAAGUACAAAUGAAAAUACUAUCGUAGCAAAAACCAAAAUUUUUCGCAAACUAAACCGAGCCUAAAUUCCGACGUGUAAUAGCAUCUAGUACUAUCUGCAGCCUGCAACUGUAAUGCACGAAAGCUCUCACUACGGUACUAUUCGUUGCUUUGCGCGGCAGUCGGCACCAUUGCUUUGCCGAGCGAUGGCGAGCGAGGGCAAGCGAGGACAAGACUUAUGGCAAGCGAUGACAAGACUUGGCUUCGCCCAGGCAAGCUCCUUAUCGCUCACACUGUCACAACAAAGGUGAGGCAGCCUCUAUAUUUUUCAGUUUUAGACCCUCUAU
rnacentral:lncRNA from 1 species